rnacentral:rRNA from 1 species
CCUACGGGUGGCUGCAGUGAGGAAUAUUGGUCAAUGGACGAGAGUCUGAACCAGCCAAGUAGCGUGAAGGAUGACUGCCCUAUGGGUUGUAAACUUCUUUUAUAUGGGAAUAAAAUGUUCCACGUGUGGGAUUUUGUAUGUACCAUAUGAAUAAGGAUCGGCUAACUCCGUGCCAGCAGCCGCGGUAAUACGGAGGAUCCGAGCGUUAUCCGGAUUUAUUGGGUUUAAAGGGAGCGUAGGUGGAUUGAUAAGUCAGUUGUGAAAGUUUGCGGCUCAACAGUGAAAUUGCAGUUGAAACUGGCAGUCUUGAGUACAGUAGAGGUGGGCGGAAUUCGUGGUGUAGCGGUGAAAUGCUUAGAUAUCACGAAGAACUCCGAUUGCGAAGGCAGUUCACUGGACUGCAACUGACACUGAGGCUCGAAAGUGUGGGUAUCAAACAGGAUUAGAUACCCCUGUAGUC